CGUAGGUGGCAAGCGUUGUCCGGAUUUACUGGGCGUAAAGAGCGCGCAGGCGGUCGUUCAAGUCGCGUGUGAAACGCCCCCGGCUCAACUGGGGAGGGUCACGCGAUACUGAUCGACUCGAAGGCAGGAGAGGGUAGUGGAAUUCCCGGUGUAGUGGUGAAAUGCGUAGAUAUCGGGAGGAACACCAGUGGCGAAGGCGACUACCUGGCCUGUUCUUGACGCUGAGGCGCGAAAGCUAGGGGAGCAAACGGGAUUAGAUACCCCGGUAGUCCUAGCCGUAAACGAUGGACACUAGGUGUUGGUGGUAUCAACCCCGCCAGUGCCGAAGCUAACGCAUUAAGUGUCCCGCCUGGGGAGUACGGCCGCAAGGCUA
rnacentral:rRNA from 1 species